GUCAGGGCCUGUCGCGGGCUGCUUAAUGACUGAGGUCAGAGGUCAGUGGUGACUAAUGGCUUGAUGGGGCUGGUGGCACUGGGGAGUCUUUAGUACCUCUGGCCAUGUCUCUGUAUGUCGGUCUCUCACUCACUCCACACACACACACACACACACACACACACACACACACACACACACACACACACACACACACACACAUAUAUAUAAGUGUGUCUUGGUCUCUAGAACAGUAGCUACUACAUACAUACAAAUUAUCUCCCUCUCUCUCCACCUCCUUGUCUCUCUCUCCUUAAUUUCUCCAUGCCUCUUUCACUCUAUCAUUGUUCCUACCCCUCUCUUUCUCUCUCACUGCUCUCCCCCACCUCUACUAUUUCCCACCGACUCCCCUCUCCAGGACGGCCGAAUGCGGGUCAACGACCAGCUGAUUGCGGUGAACGGCGAGGAGCUGUUGGACCUCUCCAACCACGUCGCCACGGAGACCCUACGCCACUCCAUGUCCUGGGAGGGCAAUGCCCGCGGCACCAUCCAAUUGGUGCUCCUCCGCGCCGCCCCCUCAGCGCCAACGCACAGGAGAGCCAGGAGGCGGCUAGCCACCAGGUCCCAGACGGCCCCUCCGGAACCCCGGCUCUAGCUGCAGCCCUGGAGUCCCACCACCACAGCAACGGUCCCAGCCCCCAGCCGUCCAUGGUCCCAGCUUUUGAGGUGAGAGGACACAGUAGGGCCUGAACUAGGGAA
rnacentral:lncRNA from 1 species